AGAGGGGACUUCCUGCAUCGUCCGAGACUGUGCUGAACACGUCACUACGCCUGUCCUCAAGAUUCCCAGCGAAUAUUGUUUAGGAGUAGUGUCUCCGUCCAAACAGAAGGAUUUCAACAAACGUUUCAGAAAAAAAAAAAACGGCAGAAUAAACUGAUACUGCUGCUAGAAAUGCCACCGGUGUCAGAAGAAACCCAUUUGAAACAACAGAAGGCUUCACUGAAAAAUGCAAUCAAGCAGAAGCCUGCAAAGAGCAGGAAGAGUAUGAAGAUCUUGCAAGGCAGUUUCUCAGUCGAUGCAAGGUCUCUGUGGAGGCACAGGAGCAUGGCGUUAACCAGAUACUACAGCAGUGCCUUCUCAGCUAUCACUGUGUGCAAAACAAUGGCACUCAGCUCUCUGAAGUGGUCAAACAGCUUAACUGGAAACGACAUCGCAGAAAGCAUCCUGGCCGUGGCAGUUGGAGCAUAUAUACUGCUGCAUUCUGAUUUGCCAGAAUAGCCACUGUGCUGAAAUGAAGAAAACUCUGCUCAGUGCAGACGUUCUGGAGGACUUACAACCUUGCUAAAACAACGUAAGUGCUUUAAACAAAAAGAUGUGCAUGCAAAGUCUACAUGAGUCUAGAAUCAUAACUUGAUUCUAUAAUAAAAUUGUGGACAAUUCUAUAAUAAAUGACUAU
ensembl:lncRNA